rnacentral:rRNA from 1 species
GGGUUGUGAGGUUAAGCGACUAAGCGUACACGGUGGAUGCCCUGGCAGUCAGAGGCGAUGAAGGACGUGCUAAUCUGCGAUAAGCGUCGGUAAGGUGAUAUGAACCGUUAUAACCGGCGAUUUCCGAAUGGGGAAACCCAGUGUGUUUCGACACACUAUCAUUAACUGAAUCCAUAGGUUAAUGAGGCGAACCGGGGGAACUGAAACAUCUAAGUACCCCGAGGAAAAGAAAUCAACCGAGAUUCCCCCAGUAGCGGCGAGCGAACGGGGAGCAGCCCAGAGCCUGAAUCAGUGUGUGUGUUAGUGGAAGCGUCUGGAAAGGCGCGCGAUACAGGGUGACAGCCCCGUACACAAAAAUGCACAUGCUGUGAGCUCGAUGAGUAGGGCGGGACACGUGGUAUCCUGUCUGAAUAUGGGGGGACCAUCCUCCAAGGCUAAAUACUCCUGACUGACCGAUAGUGAACCAGUACCGUGAGGGAAAGGCGAAAAGAACCCCGGCGAGGGGAGUGAAAAAGAACCUGAAACCGUGUACGUACAAGCAGUGGGAGCCUCUUUUAUGGGGUGACUGCGUACCUUUUGUAUAAUGGGUCAGCGACUUAUAUUCUGUAGCAAGGUUAACCGAAUAGGGGAGCCGAAGGGAAACCGAGUCUUAACUGGGCGUUAAGUUGCAGGGUAUAGACCCGAAACCCGGUGAUCUAGCCAUGGGCAGGUUGAAGGUUGGGUAACACUAACUGGAGGACCGAACCGACUAAUGUUGAAAAAUUAGCGGAUGACUUGUGGCUGGGGGUGAAAGGCCAAUCAAACCGGGAGAUAGCUGGUUCUCCCCGAAAGCUAUUUAGGUAGCGCCUCGUGAAUUCAUCUCCGGGGGUAGAGCACUGUUUCGGCAAGGGGGUCAUCCCGACUUACCAACCCGAUGCAAACUGCGAAUACCGGAGAAUGUUAUCACGGGAGACACACGGCGGGUGCUAACGUCCGUCGUGAAGAGGGAAACAACCCAGACCGCCAGCUAAGGUCCCAAAGUCAUGGUUAAGUGGGAAACGAUGUGGGAAGGCCCAGACAGCCAGGAUGUUGGCUUAGAAGCAGCCAUCAUUUAAAGAAAGCGUAAUAGCUCACUGGUCGAGUCGGCCUGCGCGGAAGAUGUAACGGGGCUAAACCAUGCACCGAAGCUGCGGCAGCGACACUAUGUGUUGUUGGGUAGGGGAGCGUUCUGUAAGCCUGUGAAGGUGUACUGUGAGGUAUGCUGGAGGUAUCAGAAGUGCGAAUGCUGACAUAAGUAACGAUAAAGCGGGUGAAAAGCCCGCUCGCCGGAAGACCAAGGGUUCCUGUCCAACGUUAAUCGGGGCAGGGUGAGUCGACCCCUAAGGCGAGGCCGAAAGGCGUAGUCGAUGGGAAACAGGUUAAUAUUCCUGUACUUGGUGUUACUGCGAAGGGGGGACGGAGAAGGCUAUGUUGGCCGGGCGACGGUUGUCCCGGUUUAAGCGUGUAGGCUGGUUUUCCAGGCAAAUCCGGAAAAUCAAGGCUGAGGCGUGAUGACGAGGCACUACGGUGCUGAAGCAACAAAUGCCCUGCUUCCAGGAAAAGCCUCUAAGCAUCAGGUAACAUCAAAUCGUACCCCAAACCGACACAGGUGGUCAGGUAGAGAAUACCAAGGCGCUUGAGAGAACUCGGGUGAAGGAACUAGGCAAAAUGGUGCCGUAACUUCGGGAGAAGGCACGCUGAUAUGUAGGUGAAGUCCCUCGCGGAUGGAGCUGAAAUCAGUCGAAGAUACCAGCUGGCUGCAACUGUUUAUUAAAAACACAGCACUGUGCAAACACGAAAGUGGACGUAUACGGUGUGACGCCUGCCCGGUGCCGGAAGGUUAAUUGAUGGGGUCAGCGCAAGCGAAGCUCUUGAUCGAAGCCCCGGUAAACGGCGGCCGUAACUAUAACGGUCCUAAGGUAGCGAAAUUCCUUGUCGGGUAAGUUCCGACCUGCACGAAUGGCGUAAUGAUGGCCAGGCUGUCUCCACCCGAGACUCAGUGAAAUUGAACUCGCUGUGAAGAUGCAGUGUACCCGCGGCAAGACGGAAAGACCCCGUGAACCUUUACUAUAGCUUGACACUGAACAUUGAGCCUUGAUGUGUAGGAUAGGUGGGAGGCUUUGAAGUGUGGACGCCAGUCUGCAUGGAGCCGACCUUGAAAUACCACCCUUUAAUGUUUGAUGUUCUAACGUGGACCCGUGAUCCGGGUUGCGGACAGUGUCUGGUGGGUAGUUUGACUGGGGCGGUCUCCUCCUAAAGAGUAACGGAGGAGCACGAAGGUUGGCUAAUCCUGGUCGGACAUCAGGAGGUUAGUGCAAUGGCAUAAGCCAGCUUGACUGCGAGCGUGACGGCGCGAGCAGGUGCGAAAGCAGGUCAUAGUGAUCCGGUGGUUCUGAAUGGAAGGGCCAUCGCUCAACGGAUAAAAGGUACUCCGGGGAUAACAGGCUGAUACCGCCCAAGAGUUCAUAUCGACGGCGGUGUUUGGCACCUCGAUGUCGGCUCAUCACAUCCUGGGGCUGAAGUAGGUCCCAAGGGUAUGGCUGUUCGCCAUUUAAAGUGGUACGCGAGCUGGGUUUAGAACGUCGUGAGACAGUUCGGUCCCUAUCUGCCGUGGGCGCUGGAGAACUGAGGGGGGCUGCUCCUAGUACGAGAGGACCGGAGUGGACGCAUCACUGGUGUUCGGGUUGUCAUGCCAAUGGCACUGCCCGGUAGCUAAAUGCGGAAGAGAUAAGUGCUGAAAGCAUCUAAGCACGAAACUUGCCCCGAGAUGAGUUCUCCCUGACUCCUUGAGAGUCCUGAAGGAACGUUGAAGACGACGACGUUGAUAGGCCGGGUGUGUAAGCGCAGCGAUGCGUUGAGCUAACCGGUACUAAUGAACCGUGAGGCUUAACCUUACAACGCCGAAGGUGUUU